rnacentral:rRNA from 1 species
ACUCCUACGGGAGGCAGCAGUGGGGAAUCUUGGACAAUGGGGGCAACCCUGAUCCAGCCAUGCCGCGUGAGUGAUGAAGGCCUUAGGGUCGUAAAGCUCUUUCGCCUGUGAAGAUAAUGACGGUAGCAGGUAAAGAAACCCCGGCUAACUCCGUGCCAGCAGCCGCGGUAAUACGGAGGGGUUAGCGUUGUUCGGAAUUACUGGGGCGUAAAGCGCACGUAGGCGGAUCGGAAAGUUGGGGUGAAAUCCCGGGGCUCAACCCCGGAACUGCCUCCAAAACUAUCGGUCUAGAGUUCGAGAGAGGUGAGUGGAAUUCCGAGUGUAGAGGUGAAAUUCGUAGAUAUUCGGAGGAACACCAGUGGCGAAGGCGGCUCACUGGCUCGAUACUGACGCUGAGGUGCGAAAGUGUGGGGAGCAAACAGGAUUAGAUACCCUGGUAGCGACUGA